GCUUUAAAUACUGUGAUAGCGAAACAUAAAAAAGAUCUUUCUUUCUUACUUCCUAAGCUAAAGCACUGCUUACUCUCUGCACUGCACUAUUCUUCUUCUUCUUCUAAAGUAAAUAACACCGUCAUUUUCGUCUACACUGUAAAUCUUGAAUUCCUCUGGGAGGGGAUGCUUUGCAUGAAGCCUGAACAGUUGGUAAAUUUGCUGGAACUUUGGCUAGUUGGUUGACUGGUGCAAUGUUGCUAAUAUUAAUAGGUUAGAAGAUAAUGCUGUACUGCUCCAAAAAAAAAAUGGAACUAAUUGGUACUAGUUCAGAUGCCGUUCCCCAUCAGAAUCACUCUUCAAGGGGCUCAAGCAAUGCUGGCAACAAGAAUUUAACUGAGAAAGAAGUCUAUGUAAACCAUGCUGAGUUAGCCUGGCAUCAAAUGAGGACAGAAUGGGUUGGUGAUCAAUCAAAAAAAUUACGGAGGUCACCUAAAGGUUCAACAUUAAGCGUCACAAGGACUUAUGAAGAGGUGCUUGCAUCUAGAGAACCUUUUAAACGACCAAUACUAUUAUCUGAGAUGGUAAGUUUUUUGGUUGAAAUUUGGCUCGAGGAUGGUCUCUAUGAUUAGAUUACAGACAGGUAAUUCUACUGUAAGUUUAAGUGAGAACUCGGCAGAGUUUUAUUUGUGCCCAGAUCCCUCGGAAGCACAUUGUUUAUAUUUAUACAAAUCCUUUAUCGCGAGAUUGGUUGAAAUCAUUGAAUGACAGUUUAAUUGGUUCUCUUAGCACAGGUAGGCUUCAUAGCAGUUUAUGUCUGCAACACCUUGGAUUUUUUGGUCAAAUUGUGGCUGCUGCAGCUAAACAUUCAUCGGACUAGUUACGUUUUUUUAAACUAGAAUGCAUUUUCCAUAGUGAUAAGUGGGCAAUCUCACUCAAAUUUGUAAUGAAAUUUGAAAAGAAAAUGGCAUUUGCAUUGCCAUUGUUCAAUAGCUUUCUAAUGCAAUUUUACUAGGAGUGUGCGAAACGAUCGAACUGCAUCGAAACAUUCCAUAAUGAAACCAUAUAUCAUUUGAGUAAAAAAAAAACUCAACUAUUUCUGUAAAACGGUUCAGUUGGAACUGAACAGUUUUUAUUAA